rnacentral:lncRNA from 1 species
CGUGUUUGUAGCGAGAUAUCAUUCUCACAAUGUGGUCUUUAUCUAUCCUAGUGGAAACUCCACAGACAACUUUUAUCAAGAUAAGAUGGACUCAAUAGACCAGUAGUUCUACAUUAUGACACAUCUACAAAAAUAUUGUAAGUGGCAAAUGCAGCCAAUGACGCGUUCUUGUACGAAGUUAGAUGAUAAGUUGUAAUGUUAAUGGUUACAGUGUUCGUCACAGAAUUACUUGAGAUAACUUAUAUAUUUCAAAUAGAUUAAUUGGUUUAUAAAAGAGGGACGAAAAGAUACCAAAGGGACAGUCAAACUCAUAAAUCUAAGACAAACUGACAACGUCAUGGCUAAAA